rnacentral:rRNA from 1 species
UACAGAGGUGGCAAGCGUUGUUCGGAAUUACUGGGCGUAAAGGGCGCGUAGGCGGUUCGUUAAGUCCUGUGUGAAAUCCCCCGGCUCAACUGGGGAACUGCACAGGAAACUAGCGGGCUUGAGUUCGGGAGAGGGAAGCGGAAUUCCGGGUGUAGCGGUGAAAUGCGUAGAUAUCAUUUGGAACGCCAAUGGUGAAAACGGGUAGCUGGGGCUGUGCUGACGCUGAGACACGAAAGCCAGGGGAGCGAACGGG